rnacentral:misc_RNA from 1 species
CAAUGACUUAUAUACCUAAAAAAAUGCAACACUAUGCGCAUGCAGCCAUGAAUCUGAUCAACAUGGACUCGGAGAACCGGGUGGUGCUCAAUGUGGGUGGCAUUAGACACGAGACCUACAAGGCCACGCUGAAAAAGAUUCCGGCAACGCGAUUGUCGCGAUUGACAGAGGCCCUGGCCAAUUACGAUCCGAUACUGAAUGAGUACUUCUUUGAUCGGCAUCCGGGCGUCUUCGCACAAGUGCUCAACUAUUACAGAACUGGCAAGCUGCAUUAUCCCACGGACGUGUGCGGACCGCUGUUUGAGGAGGAAUUGGAGUUCUGGGGCCUAGACUCGAACCAAGUGGAGCCCUGCUGUUGGAUGACCUACACGCAGCAUCGCGACACCCAGGAAACCCUAGCCGUACUCGAUCGUCUCGAUCUGGAUACGGAAAAACCGUCCGAGGAGGAACUGGCGCGCAAAUUCGGCUUCGAGGAGGACUACUACAAAGGCACCAUAUCCUGGUGGCAGGAAAUGAAGCCGCGCAUUUGGUCCUUGUUCGAUGAGCCCUACAGUUCCAAUGCAGCCAAGACUAUUGGCGUGGUUUCGGUGUUCUUCAUCUGCAUUUCGAUCCUGUCGUUCUGCCUGAAGACCCAUCCCGACAUGCGGGUGCCCAUCGUCCGGAAUAUUACAGUGAAAACUGCGAAUGGAAGUAAUGGCUGGUUCUUGGACAAGACGCAGACCAAUGCGCACAUAGCCUUCUUCUAUAUCGAAUGCGUGUGCAAUGCCUGGUUUACCUUUGAAAUAUUGGUGCGCUUUAUCUCAUCGCCGAACAAGUGGGAGUUCAUCAAGUCAUCUGUUAACAUCAUAGACUACAUAGCGACGCUUAGUUUUUAUAUCGAUCUAGUGCUUCAGCGGUUCGCAUCGCAUCUGGAGAACGCUGACAUCCUCGAGUUCUUCUCGAUCAUCCGCAUCAUGCGUCUGUUCAAGCUGACGCGCCACUCGUCCGGACUGAAGAUCCUGAUCCAGACGUUCCGGGCCUCGGCCAAGGAGCUGACCCUGCUGGUGUUCUUCCUCGUCCUGGGCAUCGUGAUCUUCGCCAGCCUCGUCUACUACGCGGAGCGCAUCCAGCCGAACCCCCACAACGACUUCAAUAGCAUACCCCUGGGCCUGUGGUGGGCCCUGGUCACCAUGACCACCGUCGGCUACGGUGACAUGGCCCCCAAAACCUACAUCGGCAUGUUCGUGGGCGCCCUGUGCGCCCUAGCCGGCGUACUAACCAUCGCACUGCCAGUGCCCGUCAUCGUCAGCAACUUCGCCAUGUACUACUCGCACACGCAGGCCAGGGCCAAACUGCCAAAGAAGCGGAGACGAGUGCUUCCCGUCGAGCAGCCGCGGCAGCCCAGACUGCCAGGUGCACCUGGUGGUGUCAGUGGCUGCGGCACCCCGGGCUCGGGUCCCCACUCCGGUCCCAUGGGAUCCGGCGGAACUGGACCACGUCGCAUGAACAAUAAAACCAAGGACCUGGUCAGCCCCAAGUCAGAUGAAUAUACAACAAUGAUUGGCAAACCGCGCGAUGGCAAAAAGAGCAGGCUGCUCUAAGCCAACAAACACAACAGCACCAACAUGAACCACGAUACGACAACAACCACAACAGAACCAGCUGAAGAACCAAUAUUCCCCCAUACCAUUACUUCCAAGCUAGAACUCGCAAUGAGAGAUGAUGAUGAUACCUUCCUAUAUAAGAAUUUGGCAAACUGAUCUAUGAGUAAGCGAAGGAAAAGUUGAGAGAAACCGAAAACGCAACCCAAGGACUGGAUAAAGAUCAUAUAGCGGAUAUAGACCAAAUCGGAUCGUGGUAUGUGGAUCGAUGGCACACUUUCUGGAUGCCAAAUAGCCAUAGAUACAUAUAUGAAUACUCGUAUGGUUACUUUGAAUAUGGACGACGUCUGCUACUGAUAUCUACUGUACUACUACCACUCCAACCUGCUAUAUAAUCGUAUAUAUAACUACAAUAUGUAAUUUUCUACGUGUUUUCCUCUCUCUCUAUUUCUCCACCUUUCUUUACAUAAAUUAUAUUAUAUUCUAUAUAUAUCGUGUACGUGUUGUUCUUCAGUUCUGGCUCGUUCGUUUCUUCGUUAGCAGUGUACAAGAUACUAUAUACUAUGUUCAGAUCUGUAAACGUAUCUUCUCUCAUUCUCUAUGUGUGCGUGUGUAACUUUGUGACCUUUUGUUCUAGUGUCUAAUCGCCCCGAAUCAGAGAACCCUUAGCUAUGUAAUUGAUCGCAAAACUUGGAAUCUACUUUGUAUUAUCUCGAACUCUUGUAUUUCAGAUAUGGCCUUCAGUUUCGACUAAAACAGAAUACAGAACAGAACCAGAAAGAUAUUUUGUAAUUUGAUAAGCCAGCUCAAGACACAGUAUAAGAAAAAAACAAGAAAAACUCGGCAACAAAAUCGAAAAAAAUCGACACAAAAAUCAAAACGAAACCUCAGUUAUAUACGAAAUGUAAAGAAAUAAGAAAUCCCCGGUUCGUUCAUCUAUCAUCUAACUAUCAGCUAACCAAAACUCGGACUCUGCUGGGCGGUUGCUCAACUUUUCGCAGGUCCACUGGGCGCAAGUAUUGUGGCCAUGAGUCCCAGGACAAUGCUGGAUCUCAAUCCUGCCCUGG